rnacentral:rRNA from 1 species
UGGGGAAUCUUGGACAAUGGGGGCAACCCUGAUCCAGCCAUGCCGCGUGAGUGAUGAAGGCCUUAGGGUCGUAAAGCUCUUUCGCCUGUGAAGAUAAUGACGGUAGCAGGUAAAGAAACCCCGGCUAACUCCGUGCCAGCAGCCGCGGUAAUACGGAGGGGGUUAGCGUUGUUCGGAAUUACUGGGCGUAAAGCGCACGUAGGCGGACUAGCAAGUUAGAGGUGAAAUCCCAGGGCUCAACCUUGGAACUGCCUUUAAAACUGCUAGUCUAGAGACCGGAAGAGGUUAGGGGAAUACCUAGUGUAGAGGUGAAAUUCGUAGAUAUUAGGUGGAACACCAGUGGCGAAGGCGCCUAACUGGUCCGGUACUGACGCUGAGGAACGAAAGCGUGGGGAGC